rnacentral:rRNA from 1 species
GAUGAACGCUGGCGGCGUGCUUAACACAUGCAAGUCGAACGGAAAGGCUCCUGCUUUCAUGGGUACUCGAGUGGCGAACGGGUGAGUAACACGUGGGUGAUCUGCCCUUCACUUCGGGAUAAGCCUUGGAAACUGGGUCUAAUACCGGAUAGGACGAUGUUUUGGAUGCCAUUGUGGAAAGUUUUUCGGUGUGGGAUGAGCUCGCGGCCUAUCAGCUUGUUGGUGGGGUAAUGGCCUACCAAGGCGUCGACGGGUAGCCGGCCUGAGAGGGUGUACGGCCACAUUGGGACUGAGAUACGGCCCAGACUCCUACGGGAGGCAGCAGUGGGGAAUAUUGCACAAUGGGCGCAAGCCUGAUGCAGCGACGCCGCGUGGGGGAUGACGGCCUUCGGGUUGUAAACUCCUUUCGCUAGGGACGAAGCGCAAGUGACGGUACCUGGAGAAGAAGCACCGGCUAACUACGUG